rnacentral:rRNA from 1 species
UAGGGAAUCUUCGGCAAUGGGGGGAACCCUGACCGAGCAACGCCGCGUGAGUGAAGAAGGUUUUCGGAUCGUAAAGCUCUGUUGUUAAGGAAGAACGAGUGUGGGAAUGGAAAGUUCAUACUGUGACGGUACUUAACCAGAAAGGGACGGCUAACUACGUGCCAGCAGCCGCGGUAAUACGUAGGUCCCGAGCGUUGUCCGGAUUUAUUGGGCGUAAAGCGAGCGCAGGCGGUUAGAUAAGUCUGAAGUUAAAGGCAGUGGCUCAACCAUUGUAGGCUUUGGAAACUGUUUAACUUGAGUGCAGAAGGGGAGAGUGGAAUUCCAUGUGUAGCGGUGAAAUGCGUAGAUAUAUGGAGGAACACCGGUGGCGAAAGCGGCUCUCUGGUCUGUAACUGACGCUGAGGCUCGAAAGCGUGGGGAGCGAACAGG